rnacentral:tRNA from 1 species
GCUGGUGUGGCUCAGUGGAUAGAGCGUCAGCCUGUGGACUGAAGGAUCACAGGUUCAAUUCCAGUCAAGGGCU